rnacentral:lncRNA from 1 species
UAUUGCAUUUGUAAUCCCAAACUGAAUAGGUUCUCUCUACCUCUUCUGAUUAGCUUGGGUAACCAUGAUAUGCUGCUAGGUGUCACUCAUGGUUUGUGGAAGCCCUAAACGUGUGUAAUCACUAAAGGGAGAAUUGAAAGUAAGUUUCAAAUUCACAAUCGAUGUAAAAUGGUUUUAAUCGCCCACUGCCUCGCUAAAAGGAACCUAAUGGAUCG